rnacentral:rRNA from 1 species
CACACCGCCCGUCACGCCAUGGAAGCUCGGAGCGCCCGAAGUCGGUGUCGGAACUCGCAAGAGACCAAGCCGCCGAAGGCGAGCCGGGUGACUGGGGCG